rnacentral:rRNA from 1 species
UUAGGAAUAUUCGUCAAUGGGGGAAACCCUGAACGAGCAAUGCCGCGUGAAGGAUGACGGUCCUAUGGAUUGUAAACUUCUGUUGUUAGGGAAGAACGACCUAAGUAGGAAAUGACUUAGGAGUGACGGUACCUUUCAAGAAAGCUCCGGCUAACUACGUGCCAGCAGCCGCGGUAAUACGUAGGGAGCGAGCGUUAUCCGGAUUUAUUGGGUGUAAAGGGUACGUAGGCGGCCUCAUAAGUCUGUGGUUUAAGUCCGAAGCUCAACUUCGGUUCGCCACAGAAACUGUUUGGCUUGAGUAUGGUAGAGGCAAGUGGAAUUUCUAGUGUAGCGGUUAAAUGCGUAGAUAUUAGAAGGAACACCAGUGGCGAAGGCGACUUGCUGGGCCAUUACUGACGCUGAGGUACGAAAGCGUGGGGAGCAAAUAGG